rnacentral:rRNA from 1 species
UACGUAGGGUGCAAGCGUUGUCCGGAAUUAUUGGGCGUAAAGAGCUCGUAGGCGGUCUGUCGCGUCGAAUGUGAAAACCCGAGGCUCAACUUCGGGCCUGCAUUCGAUACGGGCAGACUAGAGUUCGGUAGGGGAGUCUGGAAUUCCUGGUGUAGCGGUGAAAUGCGUAGAUAUCUGGAGGAACACCGGUGGCGAAGGCGGUCUGCUGGGCAGUGGCUGACACUGAGGCGCGAAAGCGUGGGGAGCAAACAGG